AUGGAUACGAGCCCAAAAAAACGGCAUCGCAACAUCACUGUAAAAAAGAAGAAAAAAAACAAGUCGGGAAUCACAGUUUUCCAGCCCAACAAACAAAGGCCUCAUCUGCUGCAUAUAAAAGAAAACAGAUUCAUAUUUAAUCAUUGGCCCAUGACACUUUUUGAAAAUCACAAACUUUGUUUAGUUCACAAAGAGAGGCUCAAGAAGCAAGUUAUUGCAGACUCAGAGUUUCAUCACAAUUUUUCCAGCCCAAUAGCAAAAAACAUAGUCACUGCAGUAACAUUUUCAGAAAAUUUCCAAAGCCCAAUAAAAAUUUCAGCAAGCUUAUUAUCAGAAUUGAGAAAUAACUACCACAAAUGA